rnacentral:rRNA from 1 species
UACGAAGGGAGCUAGCGUUGUUCGGAAUCACUGGGCGUAAAGCGCACGUAGGCGGAUGUGUCAGUCAGGGGUGAAAUCCCGGAGCUCAACUUCGGAAUUGCCUUUAAGACUGCAUCGCUAGAAUUGUGGAGAGGUAAGUGGAAUUCCGAGUGUAGAGGUGAAAUUCGUAGAUAUUCGGAAGAACACCAGUGGCGAAGGCGACUUACUGGACGACUGUUGACGCUGAGGUGCGAAAGCGUGGGGAGCAAACAGG